rnacentral:rRNA from 1 species
GUGAGGAAUAUUGGUCAAUGGGCGAGAGCCUGAACCAGCCAAGUCGCGUGAAGGAAGAAGGAUCUAUGGUUCGUAAACUUCUUUUGCAGGGGAAUAAAGUGCAGGACGUGUCCUGUUUUGUAUGUACCCUGAGAAUAAGGAUCGGCUAACUCCGUGCCAGCAGCCGCGGUAAUACGGAGGAUCCGAGCGUUAUCCGGAUUUAUUGGGUUUAAAGGGUGCGUAGGUGGUUUGAUAAGUCAGCGGUGAAAGUUUGCAGCUUAACUGUAAAAAUGCCGUUGAAACUGUCGGACUUGAGUGUAAAUGAGGUAGGCGGAAUGCGUGGUGUGGCGGUGAAAUGCAUAGAUAUCACGCAGAACUCCGAUUGCGAAGGCAGCUUACUAAGCUACAACUGACACUGAAGCACGAAAGCGUGGGGAUCAAACAGGAUUAGAUACCCGGGUAGUCC